UAGACUUUUGCACGUUUAAUCGUAUUUCUUCAUUUGUCCACCAGUAAAUGUGAAGGAAAAAGUUGUCCCAGAUCCUCCAUAGGAAAUUCUUACUUAUAAUUGGAUUAAACCUUAAGUUUGAGAACGACUCACAGUAUUGCAGAGGAAGAGGGAAAAGGUAAUAAAAAUUCAAAAUGCAAUGAAGCCUAAUAUGUACUCUUUCUUGCAAAACCCCCUUAGUCGUACUGAACUGUGAUGCAUCCCAGGAAGUAGCAGCUCCUUCGGAGAAAGGAUAUUCUAUGCCCCCAAAGAGGACAGUGCUAACACCAGGGACAGAUUCUACAAACCUCAGUAGACAGAGUGAGGAAAGGCUCUAUUCGCUCACUGGAAUUUCCUGGUACUUCCAUAAAUGUCAAUAAACACUGGUCUAAGGGGCAUAUGAUGUUCCAAUAUAUUUUGACAUAAAAGCUGUAACCAGGAGAGUCUUAAAAUAAAAGUACUGGAGGGAAAUGUAUGAGUCAGUUGGGGAAGUCUAAGCCAUUCUCAAAGGCAGCAUAUGACUGCAGAGGGGGGCUACAGUCUCCCGAAGCCAAUUGAAUAAUCUGUUUCAUUGACACAAUUAUUAAAUCAUUGAUUAGUGUGCUGAGUGGUUGGUAUUGGUUGUCUUUAUUACAGGUGAAUUGCAGCUAUUGCCAGCUGUUUCUGUGGCAAGUUCUUCAGCUGCAGAAAAGCUGGCAUUGUGCCCAGAUGCAGCCUGGGAGUCCCACCGCUUCAAAGUGCUUUUUUUUUCCCCCAGCGAGUGCUUCUCCCUGUCAUUACAUGGUUUCCCUGUGCUCUCAUCAUUACAAUAGAAUCCAUAAAACCAAACACAGAAACAAAGGGAUAACUUAUUGGCAACUAAUGAAACACAGAGAGAUUGUUCAAGCAGUGUAAAUGCGAAAGGGCUUUAAACCAGUUUAAACAAUCUACGUGUAUUCCAUCGCCCCAUUGUUAACACAGGCGUGAAGGCAAGUGUCUCAGCUUCAUAAAAAUUACACCAUCGUUGCCUUAAAGAUCUGCUCUCUUGUUGCCUCUGCCUCUGGCGCUCUUUUUAGAGGGCUGGUUUGCUUUUUGUCCACUUAUUCAAAUUCUGCCCAUUGAUCAAGACUGGUUCAUCUUCCAAGUUUUCUGAGAAAUUGUCCAUGAACACUGCAGACUCCACUGAGCUUUCCUUGCUUUUCUUUUCUCCAAUAACUUAGGUGUGUGCCACUUAUUUAGCCAGCCAGAGAUAAGGCAAGUAUAGGCAAUAUUGAGAAUCCAUGAAACAGCACAAGUGGACCAAGGCACCUUCCUCUGAUCCCAGAGGUGCUCUGAGAAACAUUCUCAACCAACUUUCCAAGUAGAGCCCCAUCAAUGACUCAGCUUUGACAGAUGGCAUGGGAUGAAAUGUGUGUGUCAUCCCAAGUCCUUCAAGGUGUACAAUAAUAGAAAAAAGUUGCAAUUCCUUGCCUCCACUGUGAGACAAACCCCAGCCACAUCUCCAGCACACAAGAACUUCCAAACGCCUGAACCGCAGCGGCCAGGAGUUCCUCCAGAACCUCCUCCCACAGGAGCUUGCUACAUAUGCCGGAAAUCUGGCCACUGGGCCAAAGAAUGCCCGCAGCCCAAGAUUCCUCCUAAGCCGCAUCCCACCUGUGCGGGACCCCACUGAAAAUCGGACUGUUCAACUCACCUGGCAGCCACUCCCAGAGGCCCUGGAACUCUGGCCCAAGGCUCUCUGACUGACUCCUUCCCAGAUCUUCUCGGCUUAGCGGCUGAAGACUGACACUGCCCGAUCGCCUCGGAAGCCCCCAGACCAUCACGGACGCCGAGCUUCGGGUAACUCUCACAGUGGAAGGUAAGCCCGUCCCCUUCUUAAUCAAUAUGGAG
rnacentral:lncRNA from 10 species